GACGAACGCUGGCGGCGUGCUUAACACAUGCAAGUCGAACGGAAAGGCCCUGCUUUUGUGGGGUGCUCGAGUGGCGAACGGGUGAGUAACACGUGAGUAACCUGCCCUUGACUUUGGGAUAACUUCAGGAAACUGGGGCUAAUACCGGAUAGGAGCUCCUGCUGCAUGGUGGGGGUUGGAAAGUUUCGGCGGUUGGGGAUGGACUCGCGGCUUAUCAGCUUGUUGGUGGGGUAGUGGCUUACCAAGGCUUUGACGGGUAGCCGGCCUGAGAGGGUGACCGGCCACAUUGGGACUGAGAUACGGCCCAGACUGCUACGGGAGGCAGCAGGGGGGAGUAUUGCGCAAUGGGCGGAAGCGUGAUGCAGCAACGCCGCGUGCGGGAUGACGGCCUUCGGGUUGUAAACCGCUUUCGCCUGUGACGAAGCGUGAGUGACGGUAACGGGUAAAGAAGCACCGGCUAACUACGUG
rnacentral:rRNA from 1 species